rnacentral:misc_RNA from 1 species
AAGUCGUAACAAGGUUUCCGUAGGUGAACCUGCGGAAGGAUCAUUACCAUAUCCAAAAUUUAUCAACCCACUGUGUGAACCGUUUUUCGAGGGAGACUAGAGAAAGAGGCUUUUUCUUCUUUUUUUUAAUGGUCUUUUUCCUUGGAAAAUACUCGUGUUAUUUGGGGGGAAGGCUCGUAACUGAGCUGGAACCCCAUUAGCAUUUUUUCUGAGUGGAAGGCUGUUUCUUAUGGGAAGGCAAAGGUCUUUUUUCUGUAGUUCUUCCGAACAAAAAUUAACACCUUGUCAAACCAAAGCUCUUUUUUCUCAAAAAAAAAGCAUACUAACUUGAUUUCUUGUGGCAACACCAGAAACCAUUAAAACAAAACCAAUAGACAACUUACAACGGUGGAUCUCUUGGCUCGU